rnacentral:lncRNA from 1 species
CAGAGACCAUCUCAAACCUCGGAGACAAAGCUGUCACCCCACCCCAAGACAGUACUGAGCCCUUCAGCAACGGGGUGCUGAAGGAGGAGCUCUCAGACGUGGGGACUGAGGAUGGGUGGACCGUGGAUGCGGAAGCAGAUCGCUCAGGAAGUUCUGACAGGAACAGCAUGGAUUCAGUGGACAGCUGCUGCAGGCUUCCAAAACCUGACAGCCUCCAGAAUGUCCAGUCAAGUUCCAACCCCAAGAAGGUUGACCUCAUUGUCUGGGGGAUAGAGGUGCCAAAGCACUUAGUCGGUCGACUGAUUGGCAAACAGGGCCGGUACGUGAAGUUUUCUGAAGCAGACAUCUGGUGCCAAGAUCUACAUCUCUACCCUACCUUACGCCCAGAACGUCCAGAUCUGCCACACUGCAGGUUCUCAGCACCGUGUAGACAAAGCUCUGAACUUGAUUGGAAAGAAGUUUAAGGAACUGAACCUCACCAAUGUCUAUGCGCCACCACUGCCUUCGGUGGCACUGCCUUCCCUACCAAUGACAUCUUGGCUCAUGCGGCCCGGUGGUAUCACCGUGGAAGUCAUGGUGGCCAACACCCCACCUUCCGUGCUCUGUGUGCAGCUUGGACCAGCAGAUGUACCUCUGUUACUCUCAGCCUGGAAUCCCCACCUUGCCCACCCCGGUGGAAAGUCUGACUUUGUGACCCUGCCAUUCCAAGGAGCGGAAGUCCUUCUGGACAGUGUGGUUCCACUGUCAGAUGACGACCACUUUUCACCUGAGGCAGAUGCAGCCAUGAGUGAGAUGACAGGCAACACAGCACUGCUGGCCCAGGUGACAAGCUACAGUGAGACUGGCCUUCCUCUGAUUCAGCUAUGGAGUGUGGUAGGAGGUGAAGUGGUGUUGAUAAACCGGUCGCUGGUGGAGACAGGCCUUGCACAAUGGGUGGACAGCUGCUAUGCCAACUUUGAUCUCGGGCCCCCUGAGCUACUUCAGUCUUUUUUGCACUGCUGAGAUUGGGCUUGGUACUCAGGACAGAGAUUUAACAUCAGAAUAGCAAGCAUUGUUCUCUCCAGUCUUCUUUCCCUCAUUCUGUAGCCCUUCGGGGGGAAAAC